rnacentral:rRNA from 2 species
GCAAAAGCUCAAAUUUGAAAUCUGGCACCUUCGGUGUCCGAGUUGUAAUUUGAAGAAGCAACUUUGGGGCUGGUCCUUGUCUAUGUUCCUUGGAACAGGACGUCAUGGAGGGUGAGAAUCCCGUGUGGCGAGGAUCCCAGUUCUUUGUAAAGUGCUUUCGACGAGUCGAGUUGUUUGGGAAUGCAGCUCUAAGUGGGUGGUAAAUUCCAUCUAAAGCUAAAUAUUGGCGAGAGACCGAUAGCGAACAAGUACAGUGAUGGAAAGAUGAAAAGAACUUUGAAAAGAGAGUGAAAAAGGACGUGAAAUUGUUGAAAGGGAAGGGCAUUUGAUCAGACAUGGUGUUUUGCGACCCUCGCUCCUUGUGGGUGGGGAUCUCGCAGUUCACUGGGCCAGCAUCAGUUUUGGCGGCAGGAUAAAUCUUUGGGAAUGUAGCUUUGCUUCGGGAAAGUGUUAUAGCCCAGGGGAAUACUGCCAGCCGGGACUGAGGAUUGCG